rnacentral:rRNA from 1 species
GAUGAACGCUGGCGGCGUGCCUAAUACAUGCAAGUCGAGCGAACAGACGAGGAGCUUGCUCCUCUGACGUUAGCGGCGGACGGGUGAGUAACACGUGGAUAACCUACCUAUAAGACUGGGAUAACUUCGGGAAACCGGAGCUAAUACCGGAUAAUAUAUUGAACCGCAUGGUUCAAUAGUGAAAGACGGUUUUGCUGUCACUUAUAGAUGGAUCCGCGCCGCAUUAGCUAGUUGGUAAGGUAACGGCUUACCAAGGCGACGAUGCGUAGCCGACCUGAGAGGGUGAUCGGCCACACUGGAACUGAGACACGGUCCAGACUCCUACGGGAGGCAGCAGUAGGGAAUCUUCCGCAAUGGGCGAAAGCCUGACGGAGCAACGUCGCGUGAGUGAUGAAGGUCUUCGGAUCGUAAAACUCUGUUAUUAGGGAAGAACAAAUGUGUAAGUAACUAUGCACGUCUUGACGGUACCUAAUCAGAAAGCCACGGCUAACUACGUG